AUUGAACGCUGGCGGCAUGCCUUACACAUGCAAGUCGAACGGCAGCACGGGAGCAAUCCUGGUGGCGAGUGGCGAACGGGUGAGUAAUAUAUCGGAACGUGCCCAGUAGUGGGGGAUAACUGCUCGAAAGAGCAGCUAAUACCGCAUACGACCUGAGGGUGAAAGGGGGGGAUCGCAAGACCUCUCGCUAUUGGAGCGGCUGAUAUCAGAUUAGGUAGUUGGUGGGGUAAAGGCUAACCAAGCCAACGAUCUGUAGCUGGUCUGAGGGGACGACCAGCCACACUGGGACUGAGACACGGCCCAGACUCCUACGGGAGGCAGCAGUGGGGAAUUUUGGACAAUGGACGCAAGUCUGAUCCAGCCAUGCCGCGUGCGGGAAGAAGGCCUUCGGGUUGUAAACCGCUUUUGUCAGGGAAGAAACGCUCUGGGUUAAUACCUCGGGGUAAUGACGGUACCUGAAGAAUAAGCACCGGCUAACUACGUGCCAGCCGCCGCCGUAAAAC
rnacentral:rRNA from 1 species